GCGGGACACGUGGUAUCCUGUCUGAAUAUGGGGGGACCAUCCUCCAAGGCUAAAUACUCCUGACUGACCGAUAGUGAACCAGUACCGUGAGGGAAAGGCGAAAAGAACCCCGGCGAGGGGAGUGAAAAAGAACCUGAAACCGUGUACGUACAAGCAGUGGGAGCCUCUUAAUGGGGUGACUGCGUACCUUUUGUAUAAUGGGUCAGCGACUUAUAUUCUGUAGCAAGGUUAACCGAAUAGGGGAGCCGAAGGGAAACCGAGUCUUAACUGGGCGUUAAGUUGCAGGGUAUAGACCCGAAACCCGGUGAUCUAGCCAUGGGCAGGUUGAAGGUUGGGUAACACUAACUGGAGGACCGAACCGACUAAUGUUGAAAAAUUAGCGGAUGACUUGUGGCUGGGGGUGAAAGGCCAAUCAAACCGGGAGAUAGCUGGUUCUCCCCGAAAGCUAUUUAGGUAGCGCCUCGUGAAUUCAUCUCCGGGGGUAGAGCACUGUUUCGGCAAGGGGGUCAUCCCGACUUACCAACCCGAUGCAAACUGCGAAUACCGGAGAAUGUUAUCACGGGAGACACACGGCGGGUGCUAACGUCCGUCGUGAAGAGGGAAACAACCCAGACCGCCAGCUAAGGUCCCAAAGUCAUGGUUAAGUGGGAAACGAUGUGGGAAGGCCCAGACAGCCAGGAUGUUGGCUUAGAAGCAGCCAUCAUUUAAAGAAAGCGUAAUAGCUCACUGGUCGAGUCGGCCUGCGCGGAAGAUGUAACGGGGCUAAACCAUGCACCGAAGCUGCGGCAGCGACACUAUGUGUUGUUGGGUAGGGGAGCGUUCUGUAAGCCUGUGAAGGUGGCCUGUGAGGGGUGCUGGAGGUAUCAGAAGUGCGAAUGCUGACAUAAGUAACGAUAAAGCGGGUGAAAAGCCCGCUCGCCGGAAGACCAAGGGUUCCUGUCCAACGUUAAUCGGGGCAGGGUGAGUCGACUCCUAAGGCGAGGCCGAAAGGCGUAGUCGAUGGGAAACAGGUUAAUAUUCCUGUACUUGGUGUUACUGCGAAGGGGGGACGGAGAAGGCUAUGUUGGCCGGGCGACGGUUGUCCCGGUUUAAGCGUGUAGGCUGGUUUUCCAGGCAAAUCCGGAAAACCAAGGCUGAGGCGUGAUGACGAGGCACUACGGUGCUGAAGUGACAAAUGCCCUGCUUCCAGGAAAAGCCUCUAAGCAUCAGGUAACAUCAAAUCGUACCCCAAACCGACACAGGUGGUCAGGUAGAGAAUACCAAGGCGCUUGAGAGAACUCGGGUGAAGGAACUAGGCAAAAUGGUGCCGUAACUUCGGGAGAAGGCACGCUGAUAUGUAGGUGAAGCGACUUGCUCGUGGAGCUGAAAUCAGUCGAAGAUACCAGCUGGCUGCAACUGUUUAUUAAAAACACAGCACUGUGCAAACACGAAAGUGGACGUAUACGGUGUGACGCCUGCCCGGUGCCGGAAGGUUAAUUGAUGGGGUUAGCGGUAACGCGAAGCUCUUGAUCGAAGCCCCGGUAAACGGCGGCCGUAACUAUAACGGUCCUAAGGUAGCGAAAUUCCUUGUCGGGUAAGUUCCGACCUGCACGAAUGGCGUAAUGAUGGCCAGGCUGUCUCCACCCGAGACUCAGUGAAAUUGAACUCGCUGUGAAGAUGCAGUGUACCCGCGGCAAGACGGAAAGACCCCGUGAACCUUUACUAUAGCUUGACACUGAACAUUGAGCCUUGAUGUGUAGGAUAGGUGGGAGGCUUUGAAGUGUGGACGCCAGUCUGCAUGGAGCCGACCUUGAAAUACCACCCUUUAAUGUUUGAUGUUCUAACGUUGGCCCGUAAUCCGGGUUGCGGACAGUGUCUGGUGGGUAGUUUGACUGGGGCGGUCUCCUCCUAAAGAGUAACGGAGGAGCACGAAGGUUGGCUAAUCCUGGUCGGACAUCAGGAGGUUAGUGCAAUGGCAUAAGCCAGCUUGACUGCGAGCGUGACGGCGCGAGCAGGUGCGAAAGCAGGUCAUAGUGAUCCGGUGGUUCUGAAUGGAAGGGCCAUCGCUCAACGGAUAAAAGGUACUCCGGGGAUAACAGGCUGAUACCGCCCAAGAGUUCAUAUCGACGGCGGUGUUUGGCACCUCGAUGUCGGCUCAUCACAUCCUGGGGCUGAAGUAGGUCCCAAGGGUAUGGCUGUUCGCCAUUUAAAGUGGUACGCGAGCUGGGUUUAGAACGUCGUGAGACAGUUCGGUCCCUAUCUGCCGUGGGCGCUGGAGAACUGAGGGGGGCUGCUCCUAGUACGAGAGGACCGGAGUGGACGCAUCACUGGUGUUCGGGUUGUCAUGCCAAUGGCACUGCCCGGUAGCUAAAUGCGGAAGAGAUAAGUGCUGAAAGCAUCUAAGCACGAAACUUGC
rnacentral:rRNA from 1 species